rnacentral:rRNA from 1 species
UCUUUUUGAAUUGAUUUAAAGUUGUGCCUGCCCACUGAUAAUUUUUGAAGGGCCGCGGUAUUUUGACCGUGCAAAGGUAGCAUAAUCAUUAGUUUUUUAAUUGGAAACUGGAAUGAAUGGUUUGACGAGACAAUAACUGUCUUAUGAUUAUGGAUUGAAUUUCACUUUUGAGUUAAAAGGCUCAAAUGUAGAUAAGGGACGAGAAGACCCUAUAGAUCUUUACAUUUUAAAUAUUUAUGUUCGGUUAGUUGUGGAUGGAAUAUAUUUAUUUGAUUUGUUUUGUUGGGGUGACAUGGGAAUAUAAAAACUUCUCUAUAAUUAACUUUGAUGGAUGGAUCAUUGAUCCUUUAUUAUGGAACAAAGAUUAAGAUACCUUAGGGAUAACAGCGUAAUUUUGUUGGAGAGUUCUUAUCGAUAACGAAGAUUGCGACCUCGAUGUUGGAUUAAGAUUAAACUGGGGUGCAGGUGCUUUGGUUUUUGGUCUGUUC